GGAAAAGGGAUGUUCCAGAUACAGAAAAUCGUCAAACCAUUUACUACAAAGUCCAUUUCUGGGUGGAGUUAGUGGAACCGAAAAAGAUGUCUCCCUCACAGCGUUUGUGACAAAAGAAUUGCAUCGUUCCUUGGCGGCCUUUCAACAGAAGAAUAUUCAGAGAUUUCCCGAGUGUAAAUCCCCUUCCUCUCCUGUUCCUACUCACGCCUUUCCCCCGCUCUCCGUCGGCGACGAGUCCGCUGUCUGGAUCCCUUUUCCCAGGAGGGUUCUGAGGACCCAGCUGUUCGGCAGCGGGGAUCAUCGCACCACGCUCCCGGACCCCUACAACCUCAUGUUCUCCAGCGGCCUCCAGCAUGACCACCGGGCUGGGAGCAGGCAUCCGGGCUGCUGGAGCGCUCGCUGCUCAGUGGCUCGGCCCUGCGUCGGGAGCGGGGAUCCAAGGUGGGAGAAGGCCUCUUCACCCGGCGCCUGGGCACAGCUGCCUGGCACCGAGCCCGCGCUCCCCGAGCAUCCGGCCACGGGUCCGCGACGCCUUCCGUAGCUGAGCAGCCUACAACUAUGUCCUACUGCAAGGUAA